UUACUGAGUUUACGCUCUACAACCCUUUGUGAACAUACCUAUAACUGUUGCUUCGGCGGGUAGGGUCUCCGUGACCCUCCCGGCCUCCCGCCCCCGGGCGGGUCGGCGCCCGCCGGAGGAUAACCAAACUCUGAUUUAACGACGUUUCUUCUGAGUGGUACAAGCAAAUAAUCAAAACUUUUAACAACGGAUCUCUUGGUUCUGGCAUCGAUGAAGAACGCAGCGAAAUGCGAUAAGUAAUGUGAAUUGCAGAAUUCAGUGAAUCAUCGAAUCUUUGAACGCACAUUGCGCCCGCCAGCAUUCUGGCGGGCAUGCCUGUUCGAGCGUCAUUUCAACCCUCAAGCUCUGCUUGGUGUUGGGGCCCUACAGCUGAUGUAGGCCCUCAAAGGUAGUGGCGGACCCUCCCGGAGCCUCCUUUGCGUAGUAACUUUACGUCUCGCACUGGGAUCCGGAGGGACUCUUGCCGUAAAACCCCCAAUUUUCCAAAGGUUGACCUCGGAUCAGGUAGGAAUACCCGCUGAACUUAAGCAUAUCAAUAAGCGGAGGAAAAGAAACCAACAGGGAUUGCCUCAGUAACGGCGAGUGAAGCGGCAACAGCUCAAAUUUGAAAUCUGGCCCUAGGCCCGAGUUGUAAUUUGCAGAGGAUGCUUUUGGUGCGGUGCCUUCCAAGUUCCCUAGAACGGGACGCCAGAGAGGGUGAGAGCCCCGUACAGUUGGACACCAAGCCUUUGUAAAGCUCCUUCGACGAGUCGAGUAGUUUGGGAAUGCUGCUCAAAAUGGGAGGUAUAUUUCUUCUAAAGCUAAAUACCGGCCAGAGACCGAUAGCGCACAAGUAGAGUGAUCGAAAGAUGAAAAGCACUUUGAAAAGAGGGUUAAACAGCACGUGAAAUUGUUAAAAGGGAAGCGCUUGUGACCAGACUUGCGUCCGGUGAAUCACCCAGCUCUCGCGGCUGGGGCACUUCGCCGGCUCAGGCCAGCAUCAGCUCGCUGUCGGGGACAAAAGCUUCAGGAACGUAGCUCUCUUCGGGGAGUGUUAUAGCCUGUUGCAUAAUACCCUUCGGCGGGCGAGGUACGC
rnacentral:misc_RNA from 1 species